rnacentral:rRNA from 1 species
UAUUAACUCUGGCGGCGUGCCUAAUACAUGCAAGUCGAGCGAACAGAUGAGGAGCUUGCUCCUCUGACGUUAGCGGCGGACGGGUGAGUAACACGUGGAUAACCUACCUAUAAGACUGGGAUAACUUCGGGAAACCGGAGCUAAUACCGGAUAAUAUAUUGAACCGCAUGGUUCAAUAGUGAAAGACGGUUUUGCUGUCACUUAUAGAUGGAUCCGCGCCGCAUUAGCUAGUUGGUAAGGUAACGGCUUACCAAGGCAACGAUGCGUAGCCGACCUGAGAGGGUGAUCGGCCACACUGGAGCUGAGACACGGUCCAGACUCCUACGGGAGGCAGCAGUAGGGAAUCUUCCGCAAUGGGCGAAAGCCUGACUGAGCAACGCCGCGUGAGUGAUGAAGGUCUUCGGAUCGUAAAACUCUGUUAUUAGGGAAGAACAAAUGUGUAAGUAACUAUGCACGUCUUGACGGUACCUAAUCAGAAAGCCACGGCUAACUACGUG